rnacentral:rRNA from 1 species
CGUGCAGGCGGCUCGCUAAGUCUGAUGUGAAAGCCCCGGGCUCAACCCGGGAAGUGCAUUGGAAACUGGCGAACUUGAGUACGGGAGAGGGAAGUGGAAUUCCGAGUGUAGGGGUGAAAUCCGUAGAUAUUCGGAGGAACACCAGUGGCGAAGGCGGCUUCCUGGACCGAUACUGACGCUGAGACGCGAAAGCGUGGGGAGCAAACAG